GUGCCAGCAGCCGCGGUAAUACGUAGGUGGCAAGCGUUAUCCGGAAUUAUUGGGCGUAAAGCGCGCGCAGGCGGUCUCUUAAGUCUGAUGUGAAAGCCCACGGCUCAACCGUGGAGGGUCAUUGGAAACUGGGAGACUUGAGUGCAGGAGAGAAAAGUGGAAUUCCACGUGUAGCGGUGAAAUGCGUAGAGAUGUGGAGGAACACCAGUGGCGAAGGCGGCUUUUUGGCCUGUAACUGACGCUGAGGCGCGAAAGCGUGGGGAGCAAACAGGAUUAGAUACCCUGGUAGUCCACGCCGUAAACGAUGAGUGCUAGGUGUUGGGGGGUUCCACCCUCAGUGCUGAAGUUAACACAUUAAGCACUCCGCCUGGGGAGUACGACCGCAAGGUUGAAACUCAAAGGAAUUGACGGGGGCCCGCACAAGCAGUGGAGCAUGUGGUUUAAUUCGAAGCAACGCGAAGAACCUUACCAGGUCUUGACAUCCUUUGACCACUCUGAGAGAUAGAGCUUUCCCCUUCGGGGGACAAAGUGACAGGUGGUGCAUGGUUGUCGUCAGCUCGUGUCGUGAGAUGUUGGGUUAAGUCCCGCAACGAGCGCAACCCU
rnacentral:rRNA from 1 species